CCGAAUGCCGGUAAGUGAGAGCGUAGCAGUGAGACAGUGGGGGAUAAGCUUCAUUGUCGAGAGGGAAACAGCCCAGACCACCAACUAAGGCCCCUAAGCGUGUGCUAAGUGGGAAAGGAUGUGGAGUUGCUUAGACAACCAGGAGGUUGGCUUAGAAGCAGCCAUCCUUGAAAGAGUGCGUAACAGCUCACUGGUCAAGUGAUUCUGCGCCGAUAAUGUAGCGGGGCUCAAGUACACCGCCGAAGUUGUGGCAAUGACCUUUUUGGUUGUUGGGUAGGGGAGCGUCGUGUAGCCGGUGAAGCUGCGGUGUAAACCAGUGGUGGAGGCUAUGCGAGUGAGAAUGCAGGCAUGAGUAGCGAAAGAUGAGUGAGAAACUCAUCCGCCGGAUGAUCAAGGGUUCCAGGGUCAAGUUAAUCUGCCCUGGGUUAGUCGGGGCCUAAGGCGAGGCCGACAGGCGUAGUCGAUGGAUAACGGGUUGAUAUUCCCGUACCGGUGAAAAACCGCCCAUACUGAUAUUGUGAUGCUAACCAUGCGAAGCAUGAUGUGCAGGCUUUUGUUUGUGUGUUGUGUGGGUUGUGGGACCCGAUCUUUGGAGGUAAACGUGUUAACAGGUGUGACGCAGGAAGGUAGCCAAGCCACGCGAUGGUUGUCGUGGUCUAAGCGUGUAGGGUUGUCGGUUGUUAAAUGCGCCGGCUGUGUGCCUGAGACGUGAUGGGACCCCGUUUUUGGGGGAUUUGGUGAUCCUAUGCUGCCGAGAAAAGCAUCGGCGUGAGGUUUUAGCCGCCCGUACCCUAAACCGACACAGGUGAUCAGGUAGAGAAUACUAAGGCGAUCGAGAGAAUCAUGGUUAAGGAACUCGGCAAAAUGCCCCCGUAACUUCGGGAGAAGGGGGACCUUGAGCGUGAUGGGCACUUGCUGCCUGGAGCGUGUAUGGGUCGCAGAGACCAGGGGGAAGCGACUGUUUAUCAAAAACACAGGUCCGUGCGAAGUCGUAAGACGAUGUAUACGGACUGACUCCUGCCCGGUGCUGGAAGGUUAAGAGGAUUGGUUAGCCCUUUUUUGGCGAAGCUGAGAAUUUAAGCCCCAGUAAACGGCGGUGGUAACUAUAACCAUCCUAAGGUAGCGAAAUUCCUUGUCGGGUAAGUUCCGACCUGCACGAAUGGAGUAACGACUUCCCUACUGUCUCAACCAUGAACUCGGCGAAAUUGCAGUACGAGUAAAGAUGCUCGUUUCGCGCAGCAGGACGGAAAGACCCCGUGACCUUUACUAUAGUUUGGUAUUGGUGUUUGGUUUGGCUUGUGUAGGAUAGGUGGGAGACUGUGAAGCAUGGACGCUAGUUUGUGUGGAGUCGUUGUUGAAAUACCACUCUGGUCAAUCUGGAUGUCUAACUUCGGGCCAUGAUCUGGUUCAGGGACAGUGCCUGAUGGGUAGUUUAACUGGGGCGGUUGCCUCCUAAAGUGUAACGGAGGCGCCCAAAGGUUCCCUCAGCCUGGUUGGCAAUCAGGUGUUGAGUGUAAGUGCACAAGGGAGCUUGACUGUGAGACUGGCAGGUCGAGCAGGGACGAAAGUCGGGACUAGUGAUCCGGCGGUACGUUGUGGAACGGCCGUCGCUCAACGGAUAAAAGGUACCUCGGGGAUAACAGGCUGAUCUUGCCCAAGAGUCCAUAUCGACGGCAUGGUUUGGCACCUCGAUGUCGGCUCGUCGCAUCCUGGGGCUGGAGUCGGUCCCAAGGGUUGGGCUGUUCGCCCAUUAAAGCGGUACGCGAGCUGGGUUCAGAACGUCGUGAGACAGUUCGGUCCCUAUCCGCUGCGCGCGUUGGAAAUUUGAGAAAGGCUGUCCUUAGUACGAGAGGACCGGGA
rnacentral:rRNA from 1 species